ACAAAGGUAGCAUAAUCAAUAGUCUCUUAAUUGGUGACUUGUAUGAAAGAUUGGAUGAAAUAUAUACUGUCUCUAAUUAAUUUAUAGAAAUUAAUUUUUUAGUAAAAAAGCUAAAAUAAUUUUAAAAGACGAGAAGACCCUAUAGAGUUUAAUAAUUUAUUUAAUUAUAUUUAUUAUAUAAUUUUUAAAAUUAAAAUUAAAUGAAUUAUUUUGUUGGGGUGAUAGAAAAAUUAAAUUAACUUUUUUUUAAUUGUUAACAUUAAUUUAUGAUUAAAUGAUCCAUUAAUAAUGAUUAAAAGAAAAAAUUACCUUAGGGAUAACAGCGUAAUUUUUUUUUUUAGUUCAAAUAGGAAAAAAAGUUUGCGACCUCGAUGUUGGAUUAA
rnacentral:rRNA from 1 species